UUCGAUUAUGGCUCAGAUUGAACGCUGGCGGGAUGCUUUACAUACAGUCGAGCAGCCUUCGGACUUCGGUCUGGUGGCGAGUGGCGAACGGGUGAGUAAUGUGUCGGAACGUGCCUAGUAGCGGGGGAUAACUACGCGAAAGCGUAGCUAAUACCGCAUACGCCCUUCGGGAAAGCGGGGACCUUCGGGCCUCGCACUAUUAGAGCAGCCGAUAUCGGAUUAGCUAGUUGGUGGGGUAACGGCUCACCAAGGCGACGAUCCGUAGCUGGUUUGAAGGACGACCAGCCACACACUGGGACUGAAGACACGGCCCAGACUCCUGCAGGGAGGCAGCAGUGGGAAUUUUGGACAAUGGAAACCCUGAUCCAGCCAUCCCACGUGUGCGAUGAAGGCCUUCGGGUUGUAAAGCACUUUUGGCAGGAAAGAAACGGCACCGGGAUAAUACCCCGUGCAACUGACGGUACCUGCAGAAUAAGCACCGAUAACUACGUGCCAGCAGCCGCGGUAAUACGUAGGGUGCAAGCGUUAAUCAGUUACUGGGCGUAAAGCGUGCGCAGGCGGUUCCGGAAAGAAAGAUGUGAAAUCCCGAAACCUUUGGAACUGCAUUUUUAACUACCGAGCUAGAGUGUGUCAGAGGAGGUGGAAUUCCGCGUGUACAGCAGUGAAAUGCGUAGAUGUGCGGAGGAACACCGAUGGCGAAGGCAGCCUCCUGGGAUAACACUGACGCUCAUGCACGAAAGCGUGGGGAGCAAACAGGAUUAGAUACCCUGGUGGUCGCCCUAAACGAUGUCAACUAGCUGUUGGGGCCUUCAGACGCCGUUGUAGCGCAGCUAACGUGAAGUUGACCGCCUGGGGAAAUUACAGUCGCAAGAUUAAAAACUCAAAGGAAUUGACGGGGACCGCACAAGCGGUGGAUGAUGUGGAUUAAUUCGAUGCAACGCGAAAAAGCCUUACCCACCCUUGACAUGUCUGGAAUCCCGAAGAAGAGAUUUGGGAGUGCUCGCAAGAGAACCGGAACACAGGUGCUGCAUGGCUGUCGUCAGCUCGUGUCGUGAGAUGUUGGGUUAAGUCCCGCAACGAGCGCAACCCUUGUCAUUAGUUGCUACGAAAGGGCACUCUAAUGAGACUGCCGGUGACAAACCGGAGGAAGGUGGGGAUGACGUCAAGUCCUCAUGGCCCAUAUGGGUAGGGCUUCACACGUCAUACAAUGGUCGGGACAGAGGGUCGCCAACCCGCGAGGGAGCCAAUCCCAGAAACCCGAUCGUAGUCCGGAUCGCAGUCUGCAACUCGACUGCGUGAAGUCGGAAUCGCUAGUAAUCGCGGAUCAGCAUGUCGCGGUGAAUACGUUCCCGGGUCUUGUACACACCGCCCGUCACACCAUGGGAGUGGGUUUUACCAGAAGUAGUUAGCCUAUUACGCGGAGGGCGAUUACCACGGUAGGAUUCAUGAAGGCUGGGGUGAAGUCGUAACGGUAACCCUGUUACUACCUGAUGCUCCCUCCUGGGAGCAUCGGAUGGUAACAGAGAAGUUUGAUUAUGGCUCAGAUUGAACGCUGGCGGGAUGCUUUACACAUGCAAGUCGAACGGCAGCACGGACUUCGGUCUGGUGGCGAGUGGCGAACGGGUGAGUAAUGUAUCGGAACGUGCCUAGUAGCGGGGGAUAACUACGCGAAAGCGUAGCUAAUACCACAUACAUGCCCAAGGGGAAAAAGCGGGGGACCUUCGGGCCUCACUACAAUAGAGCGGCCGAUAUCGGAUUAGCUAGUUGGUGGGGUAACGGCUCGCAAGGCGACGAUCCGUAGCUUUGGUUUGAGAGGACGACCAACCACACUGGGACUGAGACACGGCCCAGACUCCUACGGGAAGCAGCAGUGGGGGAAUUUUGGACAAUGGGAAACCUGAUCCAGCCAUCCCACGUGUGUGAUGAAGGCCUUCGGGUUGUAAAGCACUUUGGCGGAAGAAACGGCACGGGAUAAUACCCCGCGUGCAACUGACGGUACCUGCAGAAUAAGCACCGGCUAACUACGUGCCAGCAACCGCGGUAAUACGUAGGGUGCAAGCGUUAAUCGGAAUUACUGGGCGUAAAGCGUGCGCAGGCGGUUCGGAAAAGAAGAUGUGAAAUCCCAGAGCUUAACUUUGGAACUGCAUUUUUAACUACCGAGCUAGAGUGUGUCAGAGGGAGGUGGAAUUCCGCGUGUUAGCAGUGAAAUGCGUAGAUAUGCGGAGGAACGAUGGCGAAGGCGGCCUCCUGGGAUAACACUGACGCUCAUGCACGGCAUGGGAGCAAACAGAGUUAGAUACCCUGGUAGUCCACUAAACGUCAUCAACUAGCUGUUGGGGCCUUCCGGGCCUUGGUGGCGCAAUAACGCGUGAAGUUGACCGCCUGGGGAGUACGGUCGCAAGAUUAAAACUCAAAGGAAUUGACGGGGACCCGCACAAGCGGUGGAUGAUGUGGAUUAAUUCGAUGCAACGCGAAAAACCUUACCUACCGCCAGCGUAUCACGAUCCCGAAGAGAUUUGGGAGUGCUCGCAAGAGAACCGGAAUACAGGUGCUGCAUGGCUGUCGUCAGCUCGUGUAUUGAGAUGUUGGGUUAAGUCCCGCAACGAGCGCAACCCUUGUCGUAGUUGCUACGAAGGGCAUCUGGCGGGCAGUGACAAACCGGAGGAAGGUGGGGAUGACGUCAGAGUCCCCGCGGCCCUUAUGGGUAGGGCUUCACGCGUCAUACAAUGGUCGGGACAGAGGGUCGCCAACCCGCGAGGAGCCAAUCCCGAAACCCGAUCGUAGUCCGGAUCGCGGUCGCUCCCUGACCGUGAAGUCGGAAUCGCUGGUAAUCGCGGAUCAGCAUGUCGCAGUGAAUACGUUCCGGGUCUUGUACACCGCCCGUCACACCAUGGGAGUGGGUUUUACCAGAAGUAGUUAGCCUAACCGUAAGGAGGGCGAUUACCACGGUAGGAUUCAUGACUGGGGUGAAGUCGUAAUAAGGUAGC
rnacentral:misc_RNA from 1 species